UCUUUGUCCUGUCUGUCUCCUCUGUCCCGUCUGUCUCUGUCCUGUCUCAAACUGAAAGACUGUCGGGGGGAAAAGGGAUCCUUGUUUAAACUGGGUUGGUCUUUUCUCUCCCUGUUUAUCCAAUCAGGGCUGUGGGACAUUUCAGACUGAAACUGAGGACGAGAUAAAGCUGUCAUCCUCUCAGAACAUUCACACAUACCUCAAAACGUCCGUCUUCAGAACAUUCACACAUACCUCAAAACGUCCAUCUUUGUCUUUUUGUUGUCCAAUGGGCAGGCCAACUUUCAAUAUAGACUGGAAGGACAGUGCAGGGUCCUGGUUCUCUCGAUCUUCUCUGCUACUUCUGUUACAGCUAUGUAUCUUGAUCAAAAUGGCCGUCUUCUAUCCAGACCCAGACACACUGGUGGUUGUGGAGAGGGAGGAUUUGAUGUCAGAGGUUCCUGAUGUAAACAUGGUGGUUGUGGAGAGGGAGGAUAUGAUGUCAGAGGUUCCUGAUGUACACAUGGUGGUUGUGGAGAGCGAGGAUAUGAUGUCAGAGGUUCCUGAUGUAAACAUGGUGGUUGUGGAGAGGGAGGAUAUGAUGUCAGAGGUUCCUGAUGUACACAUGGUGGUUGUGGAGAGGGAGGAUAUGAUGUCAGAGGUUCCUGAUGUACACAUGGUGGUUGUGGAGAGGGAGGAUAUGAUGUCAGAGGUUCCUGAUGUACACAUGGUGGUUGUGGAGAGGGAGGA